UUUACAGUCAACAUUGUAUAAUCUGUCUGGCAGAUCAUGUAACAAACAUGAGAACAUCUGUACAGCAGCUCCAUCAUGCCACUUUACUGGUACAAAUGGUUUUCCAAUUAAACAUACACUGAGGGCUACAUCAUUUAAAUAUGUAUAGACUUAUGUCAGCUUGCCAUGAACAUGAACUCACGAACACACUCAUUAGUAUUCAAAAAGAGACACAAUCAGACAUCUGCCAUGUGAUUCGGCAACUCUGCGACACCAAUUACACCGACACGAAACUCUGAAAAGUUGUGGAGCUUUCACCCUCUUCUUAAUCACUUUCUGUCAAGGGCAUAAAAAAGGCAGCGGCAGCUUUUGUCUUGCUGUUUAAAUAAGUAAGCCAACGUGGCUGUAAGCCACCAGUGCGACCCAUCACUCAGUCGCUGCUAAAUUAGCUUUCCCACGUGUCAUGUUGAAGUUGCCGGAUUCCGUCUCAGCAGGAAGUCGCCCCGAAGCUCUUCCUGUCAGCCUCCAUAUCUCAGCCGAGGUGUCAGACGGCUCCGUGGGUGCGCUGAGGUUCCUGAGAGCGACUCUGCUAGAAAACAGAGAGGGCUACUCACAAAAAGCUGUCUGUUUUUCACUCGUCUUCUCUCCUGGCAUUCCUCUGAAACAAGAAGACCACUCUUUACAAGGGUCACCUGCCAAGGAAACAUUUUCGCUUUUCACUUUCAGGUGGAACAGGGACUUGUGUAUUUCUGUCUCGGAAUGACUCAGGAGAACGAUAUAGCUGUGAGAGCUCGACAAGAUGUGCUCGUGAUCCACCCUUUGAAGACUUUCAGGUUAUAUUCGUCCACAGCACAAAUUCAAAAU